ensembl:scaRNA
UCUGGAGGACUAAGAAAGUAGGGUCAGUGAAGUCAGUUGAUUCUACUGAUACUAUCCUCCUAAAUGAAAUGGCAGAAGAACAAGGCCUUGCUUGUAAGAUGUGGCUAAGCCUUACUGCAAUUUGCCAACAAUG